AGUUUUGAUUCAUGGCUCAGGAUGAACGCUGGCGGCGUGCCUAAUACAUGCAAGUCGAGCGAACUGACGAGGAGCUUGCUCCUUUGACGUUAGCGGCGGACGGGUGAGUAACACGUGGGUAACCUACCUAUAAGACUGGAAUAACUCCGGGAAACCGGGGCUAAUGCCGGAUAACAUAUCGAACCGCAUGGUUCGAUAGUGAAAGACGGUCUUGCUGUCACUUAUAGAUGGACCCGCGCCGUAUUAGCUAGUUGGUGAGGUAACGGCUCACCAAGGCAACGAUACGUAGCCGACCUGAGAGGGUGAUCGGCCACACUGGAACUGAGACACGGUCCAGACUCCUACGGGAGGCAGCAGUAGGGAAUCUUCCGCAAUGGGCGAAAGCCUGACGGAGCAACGCCGCGUGAGUGAUGAAGGUCUUCGGAUCGUAAAGCUCUGUUGUUAGGGAAGAACAAAUGUGUAAGUAACUGUGCACAUCUUGACGGUACCUAACCAGAAAGCCACGGCUAACUACGUGCCAGCAGCCGCGGUAAUACGUAGGUGGCAAGCGUUAUCCGGAAUUAUUGGGCGUAAAGCGCGCGUAGGCGGUUUUUUAAGUCUGAUGUGAAAGCCCACGGCUCAACCGUGGAGGGUCAUUGGAAACUGGAAAACUUGAGUGCAGAAGAGGAAAGUGGAAUUCCAUGUGUAGCGGUGAAAUGCGCAGAGAUAUGGAGGAACACCAGUGGCGAAGGCGGCUUUCUGGUCUGUAACUGACGCUGAUGUGCGAAAGCGUGGGGAUCAAACAGGAUUAGAUACCCUGGUAGUCCACGCCGUAAACGAUGAGUGCUAAGUGUUAGGGGGUUUCCGCCCCUUAGUGCUGCAGCUAACGCAUUAAGCACUCCCGCCCCUGGGGG
rnacentral:rRNA from 1 species